rnacentral:tRNA from 1 species
UAGAGAUUAGUAUAAGUGGUAUUACAAAAAAUUUUGGGUUUUUUAAUGGGGGUUCGAAUCCUCUUUCUCUAA